rnacentral:rRNA from 1 species
CAGCACCUCAAGUGGUCAGGAUGAAUAUUGGGCCUAAAGCAUCCGUAGCCGGCGCUGUAAGUUUUCGGUUAAAUCUGUACGCUCAACGUACAGGCUGCCGGGAAUACUGCAGCGCUAGGGAGUGGGAGAGGUAGACGGUACUCGGUAGGAAGGGGUAAAAUCCUUUGAUCUAUUGAUGACCACCUGUGGCGAAGGCGGUCUACCAGAACACGUCCGACGGUGAGGGAUGAAAGCUGGGGGAGCAAACCGGAUUAGAUACCCGUGUAGUCC